GUCAGAUCCUGCCCUAAAUUCUGCUCGUAAAACUCUUCCUUUCUCUUACCCCACCUUUUUGCGGAUAAGGAAACCGAAGCUUAGGGUGGUUAAGUAACUUGCCUCAGGUCAUCAUGCAGUGACUUCUAUUUACAGGAUUUUUUCCACCGUACCAUCAGCUAGAAGCUAAGGAUUUUGGCGGGGGGUGAUAAAGUUGGGGGUGAGGGCUACUUUUUGUCCUUAAAUCAAUUGUGAGAGGCUGACCUCUACUGGACCAUAUAGCACUUGAACACCAAAAGGAAGAAACAGUUUUCUUGGCCUCUUGUGAUCUUUUCUUAUAUUUUGGAGAUAAAUCAACUUAAUAUACAUAUGCCAAGUGCUUAUAGCAUGUGAAAUGCUGGACUAAAUGCUGAGUGAAUUCAAGUAUAAAUGCAUUGGCCUCUGAAAGUCCCACUAGGAAUGCAUUGCAAGCAUCCUAUACCCAGCAUGGCCUCUGCUUUACCAGGGAGAUAUUUCCAAACAGCAAAAGGACAAUGUUCUCUUCUGGAGGGACUAGAAGAUGCAGGUCUAACCAAGGAGCAGCCUUUCUCUAGGAACAAUAUUCUGUGAACCAUACUUUGGGAGAACUACUCUUGAAGGAGUCCUAUAACAGCUUUUUUUGAAGCUGUUUACUUGAAGCCCGUGGGUCUCAGGAUAAGCCUGCCAGGGGCCGGAGACAAACCCGAUUGUGAUGUCUCUUCUUUACUCUAUUGGUGUGUAGGUGAGCACCAAAUAAGUUCUUGAGACCAGAAGUCGGAAUGAAUCUUACAGGGUGAAAACCAGGGUGCCAUCAAUGUUGGUUCUCUCUGGAGGCUCUAAGGGGAAAGUCUUUUUCUCCUCUUUGCAGACAUACUGAUGAGUGUAACAAUUCAUGGAGCCAUAGAUACAGCAAAAUAAGGUAAGUUACUGUCCAAUUUUCUCAUAUUCUCUGUACAAAAAUCCUCUAAAGACUUCUGGUCCAGUGGAGGUAAAAAUCAUUGCCCCUUCCUUGUUAAAUGGAGCAAAGUAAAAGGAUAAAAUCAACCUGGCUUUCCUUAGUAAGUAAAGGAUCAAGUUGGUUGUUUGUUGAAAAUACAAAUUCACUUUUUAUUGUAACUAUUUGUUUCUAGGUGAAGUCAAUUCUCUGUCCUAAAUGAAAUGGCAAAAUACUCAGAUUCAGCAGAAGAGAAGUAGCAUGAGAUAAUACAAAAAUCUGUUAAAAGCUUUAAUUUCAAGUUCUGCCUGUGG
rnacentral:lncRNA from 1 species